CCAGUUCUUGGAAGUUAGCUGUUUCCCUUCCUCGCAGACAACCUCUAGAGCAGGGCAGCAGGCAGCUGCUAGAGAUUUAUUUCUCCACUUAGUUGUCUCCGCUUGCAGCUUCCUCCCAUGAGUGAGGACCAAGAGAACCCCCCUGUCUCUGAUGAAAGUGGGGGAUGAACACUGAACCAAACCCACACUGCUCAGCACAUUUGAUGGGGCCAGAAACAGACUGCAAAGGCUGAGAAAGCUUUUCAGGGGCCGUCUGGCUGUGUCGGUGCGAAGACCUGGCUGUACUUGGAAUCACCUGGGAAGACUUAUAAAAAUGGUUUCUGAGCCUCACCUGCAAGGAUUCUGACUUGGCAAUGGAAGAAUGAAAGGCAACCCAGAGUGAAAUUAGGAUUACAAUUUUACAAACGUCUGUUUCUGACGCAGGAAGCACAUCAUUUGUCCACAUCACACUCUCUUGGAAUUUAUGACAAAGCCAGGUAAAUGAAAACUUGGAAAGAUAAACCUCAGAUAAGGGGGGACUACUGUAUUCAUUCCUUCACCAUGGUGUGUCUGUAUCUGAGAAUCUACCCUUAAAAACAAUCUGGAUGCAAAGAAGCCGUGAGAUAGAGCACAGUCCCUUCAUUUCAUAAAAGAACGAAACUAACUCAAAUACACAAGGCAAUGG